rnacentral:rRNA from 1 species
ACUCCUACGGGAGGCAGCAGUCGGGAAUUUUGGGCAAUGGGCGAAAGCCUGACCCAGCAACGCCGCGUGAAGGAUGAAGUCCCUCGGGAUGUAAACUUCGGAAAUAUAGGAAGAAUAAAUGACGGUACUAUAUCUAAGGUCCGGCUAACUACGUGCCAGCAGCCGCGGUAAUACGUAGGGACCAAGCGUUGUUCGGAUUUACUGGGCGUAAAGGGUGCGUAGGCGGCGUGACAAGUCACUUGUGAAAUCUCCGGGCUUAACUCGGAUUGGCCAAGUGAUACUGUUGUGCUAGAGUACAGAAAGGGUAACUGGAAUUCUUGGUGUAGCGGUGAAAUGCGUAGAUAUCAAGAGGAACACCUGAGGCGAAGGCGAGUUACUAGGCUGAUACUGACGCUGAGGUACGAAAGCUAGGGGAGCGAACGGGAUUAGAUACCCUGGUAGGCUCUGC